rnacentral:misc_RNA from 1 species
CACUACAUUCAUGAACGUUAGUAGAAGACGAACUGAGCCACAAUAAAGCCUGCGCAUAGACUUGUACGUGUGAUUAGCCUCACAGUUUGGACGUGGUUGGACGAGAGUGUGGGGCUGUGGAAGACGAUGAUGGCUGCCACCAGCGACGAACAGAGUAGUAUGGAGUCUUCGCGGACGAAUUCAGGGCAAAAUCAAACAAUAGAUCGGCUAAAAAUGCUGUAUCCAAUGGUGAAUGAAGAUGAAACACCACUACCAAGAUCUUGGAGUCCAAAGGAUAAGUACAACUACAUAGGACUAUCACAAAAUAAUCUUCGCGUUCACUACAAAGGUUUUGGUAAAACACACAAAGACGCUGCCAGUGUUCGCACAACGCAUUCAAUACCUGCUGCCUGUGGUCUUUAUUACUUUGAGGUGAAAAUAGUGAGUAAAGGAAGAGAUGGAUACAUGGGAAUAGGUCUUUCUGCCCAUGGAGUUAACGUAAAUAGAUUACCUGGAUGGGACAAAUACUCGUAUGGUUACCAUGGUGACGAUGGGCAUAGUUUUUGUUCAUCAGGAACUGGUCAACCGUAUGGGCCCACAUUUACCACAGGCGAUGUAAUUGGUUGUGGCGUCAAUCUUGUGGAUAAUACCGCAUUUUAUACCAAAAAUGGACACCAUUUGGGCAUUGCCUUCACAGAUUUACCACCAAAUUUAUAUCCUACAGUAGGUCUUCAAACACCUGGAGAAGUAGUAGAUGCUAAUUUUGGACAAACACCAUUUGUUUUUGAUAUAGGAGACAUGAUCAAUGAACUUCGUGUUCGAACUAGAUUACAGAUUAUUAAUUAUCCUACACCUGAUCAUGGUCAGGGUCAAUGGCAGGCUGUUCUUCACAAAAUGGUUUCAACGUAUCUUGUUCAUCAUGGGUACUGUGACACUGCCGAAGCAUUUGCCAAUAGCACAGGACAAGUCUUUGAAGAAGACUUUAAUUCUAUAAAAAAUAGACAAAAAAUUUUAAAACUAGUGUUAGCUGGUAGAAUGGGUGAAGCAAUAGAACUCACAAGUCGGUUAUAUCCCGGAUUAUUAGAACGAGAUCCAAAUUUAAUGUUUGCUUUAAAGUGUCGUCAGUUUGUGGAAAUGGUGAAUGGAAGUGAUUCCGAAGUAAAUCAAAAUAAUAAUGACAACCAAACAAGUGUUAUUCAAUCAACAAAAACAUACAAUAAACUAUCUGCUAAUGGGAAUGUUGAGGAAAUGAAUUUAAAUAAUACAAUAAACGGCUCUACCGAUCAACCAUUUAUUAAUGGCCAGAUUGAAGAUGAUGUAGAAAUGGAAGAGAAUACGAUGAAUAAUAUUAAUGGUAUUAAAAAUAAUACAAAUGGUUAUCAGAAUGGUAAUCCCAAUUCAAAUGGAUAUAAAUGUAUAAAUGGUGAAGACAUUGAUAUGGAAAUAGACAGUGCCAAUCAAAAUCAAAAUAACAACAGUAAUACAAAUAAUAAUGGUCUUUGUAAUAACACAGAAAGCCAAAAUUCAACGAUAAAAAGUAGUAAAAAACAAUUAUGUGGUGGUAAUAAACAAGCAAUUGAAAAGAUGCUUGAGUUUGGCCGACAAUUAUAUUCACAGUCGAUACAUCUUCGGCAACAGUAUGGAAAAAAUGAAGCCAAUAAAAAAAUGUUACAAGAUGCAUUCAGUUUAUUGGCGUAUUCGAAUCCAUGGAAUUCACCAGUUGGUUGGCAAUUAGAUCCCCAGGAACGGGAAACUGUAUGUGCUAGACUUAAUUCUGCAAUUUUAGAGUCUACGAAUCUUCCACGACGACCACCCCUUGAAGUAGCAAUAUCUCAUGCGAGGGAAUUAUUACGACUGAUGUCUGGAGCUGGUCUCGGAGCUUGUGGUUUUGCAGUUGUGGAUAAUAUCAUUCAAUAUUGACGGUGCCUACCUCUGCUUUCACGACCGCUUCUUCUACCUGCCCGUGUGUGGUGAGUGAUCCUCUUAUUAUCCAGGGAAAGUGCCUGACAAUCGAUGGACUCGACGAAAACAGCAACGAAACAUUUCCAGAAGCAACAAAAAAUUCUUUAAUUGCACUACAAUGCAACUUAUUAUGGGAUUCGGAGACGGAACGUGGAGCAGACGAUACUAUUGAUGGAACAACUACGCGAUUUAGCGUGCCUCUUCAACUAAAUGCCAAGAUAAAUUUUAUGUUUUUUGUGAAUAUAUUAUUAAAUUAAACAAAAUAACUCUCCAUCAUCUUGGCUGAUCUCAAGACCACAACAGCGUAGACAUAAUCAAGUUAGACGCUCAGACCUGCCAACUAAAAUUGGAGUUUAAAUUUUCUUAGAUGAAAUUGAAUUAAGAUCAACGAAAAAAAAAAAAAACAAAAUAAUUAUUCAAAUACUUAGAAAUUGGUUUACAACAACAACAACAACAACAGUUUGCUUGAAAUUUAUCACUCGCUUGUGGUAAAUAAUCCGCUAAUAAAUGUUUUUAUCACGUUUAAACUGAGCGUUGUAUUAUGUUUUCCCGUUUCUAGGAGAAAUAACGAUAUUUAAUGACAAAUUAUGUUUUGAAAUAGUCAUUUUUAAAUGUGUUCGAUAUAAACACUUCUUUAUACUCAAAUAAUUUGUACAGAAAAAUUCUAAAAGAAUACCAUUUUUUCAUUAUAAUUUCACUUAAUGCGCAUGCGUCAUAGAUCUUAUUACGUAUGAGAAUGUGCGCAUGUGCAGCCGAAAAAAAAAAAAAAAUUAUGUAAAAUUAUAAAAAGAAAAAUUUUAUUCUUUUAAUUUUUUCGACAAUAAUGUCAGACAGUUUUUAACAAUAUUAUUGAUCAGAUGAUAUUAUUAUUUUUUUUUUUUUUCAUGUUUUACCAACAAUUAGCAUUUUUUUUUAUCAAAAAAAAUGUGUGCAAUAUAUUGUGUCUUUUAGAUAAAUUUUAUUUACAUUUUUGAUCACAAAUAAAAUAAAUUAAACUAAUGGAAACGUGAGAACAUUCUUUAUUGAUGAACACAAAGGUCUUAAGUUAACAUGAAUAAUAUAGAAAUGGAAAAUUAAAAAAAAAAAAAAAAGUAUAGAUAAAAAAAAAAUAAUAAUAACUUAACUAAGAAACGAUCUUGUACUCUAUAAUAAAUAAUAAGUAAUUGUUUUUUAUAUGCGAAAAUAGAAUAUAUGAAAAAUGGAUAAUGAAUAAU